GAUGAACGCUGGCGGCGUGCCUAAUACAUGCAAGUCGAGCGAACGGACGAGAAGCUUGCUUUUCUGAUGUUAGCGGCGGACGGGUGAGUAACACGUGGAUAACCUACCUAUAAGACUGGGAUAACUUCGGGAAACCGGAGCUAAUACCGGAUAAUAUUUUGAACCGCAUGGUUCAAAAGUGAAAGACGGUCUUGCUGUCACUUAUAGAUGGAUCCGCGCUGCAUUAGCUAGUUGGUAAGGUAACGGCUUACCAAGGCAACGAUGCAUAGCCGACCUGAGAGGGUGAUCGGCCAAACUGGAACUGAGACACGGUCCAGACUCCUACGGGAGGCAGCAGUAGGGAAUCUUCCGCAAUGGGCGGAAGCCUGACGGAGCAACGCCGCGGGAGUGAUGAAGGUCUUCGGAUCGUAAAACUCUGUUAUUAGGGAAGAACAUAUGUGUAAGUAACUGUGCACAUCUUGACGGGACCUAAUCAGAAAGCCACGGCUAACUACGUG
rnacentral:rRNA from 1 species